rnacentral:rRNA from 1 species
GAUGAACGCUGGCGGCGUGCUUAACACAUGCAAGUCGAACGAAGCAUUUAAGACAGAUUACUUCGGUUUGAAGUCUUUUAUGACUGAGUGGCGGACGGGUGAGUAACGCGUGGGUAACCUGCCUCAUACAGGGGGAUAGCAGCUGGAAACGGCUGGUAAUACCGCAUAAGCGCACAGUACCACAUGGUACAGUGUGAAAACCUCCGGUGGUAUGAGAUGGACCCGCGUCUGAUUAGCUUGUUGGCGGGGUAACGGCCCACCAAGGCGACGAUCAGUAGCCGACCUGAGAGGGUGACCGGCCACAUUGGGACUGAGACGCGGCCCAGACUCCUACGGGAGGCGGCAGUGGGGAAUAUUGCACAAUGGAGGAAACUCUGAUGCAGCGACGCCGCGUGAGUGAAGAAGUAGUUCGCUAUGUAAAGCUCUAUCAGCAGGGAAGAUAGUGACGGUACCUGACUAAGAAGCUCCGGCUAAAUACGUG